rnacentral:lncRNA from 1 species
UCUAGACAGUAGGUACAUAGUAAAAUCUAUAAAUAUAGAAUGCUAAAACGACUUAUAAUUUGGAACGGAGAGAGUAUUUUAAAAUCUAUAAAUAUAGAAUGCUAAAACGAUUUAUAAUUUGGAACGGAGAGAGUAUUUUUUUACAGGUCACAAUGAGCCUUGCGAUGCUAAUUUUAUAAAGAUUCCAAGGAAAACAAGGGAAUCCUCUGCGAAUUCAUGGUCACAAUUUCAGAUCUUAUUGAGUCCUUGAGGAAACCUGCCAAAUAAGGUAGCGUUUGGUUGGUUAGACGAGGUUUGGUUGGUUAGAUGAGGUUGAAUGGGAUAGGUCAUCCUGGAUGGAUAGAGGAUGGAUGGGAUAAUCCUGGAUGGUGUUUGGUUGGUUGUACAUGGCAUGAUACAUUAUUUUUGUUUGGUUAGCUGAAUGGGAUGGUGCGAGUUGGUACACUUUGUUUGGUUACCUAUACGAUCCCUCCAAAUUUUUUUUGAUUUGUCCCACUUAUGUACUUUUUUUGUUACAAUAAUUUGCUAAACACGUAUGUAAUAAAUGUCGAAUAAAAUUAACACCAGUAAUAUAUAUUAUAUUAAGAGGUCCAUAUUACAAUCAGACAUUAUCCAUAGUGUUGCAUGCAUAUGGAACUACUUUAUAAUAGCUACCACACAUUGUUAUCAUACAUCAAAAGAGCAGUAACAACUGAAAGAAAGGACCUCUCUUAAGUCUUAUCAUUUUGGUGCAGGUUGUGUCAUCCUUAUAAUUUCUGUUUAGGUAGUCAAUCAUUUUCUUAUCUCUAUCCUCCAUUGGAGCAUAGGAAAUACGUUGUCUUUUCUUUUCUCAGUCUGGACUGACACAAACAAAACCACCGUACAGGGAGCUUACAAGUUUUUUCCGUCUAUAAGCUCCCUGUCCUCCAUCUACAUUACCCAGGGGAAUGCAAACAUUAAAUAAGGUUUAAUUCAGAUAAUAGAAUAUAAUCCCAUGAAGCAACACACAUGCUAUUACGUGAAGAUUGUAUCGGAGAACAGCAUUGCAUUUUGCAAUAAAAAAAUCACCAAGACCGAAUCGUAUCUCGACUGCCCAAAUAGAUAAGAAAUCCAGGAGAUAAGACCCCUUCGUAGCCGAUGAUUCAAUCCAAUUAGGUAUCAGAGAUAGGAAGGAUGGGGAGGGGUCAAUUAUCUGGGGAGUUCAUGAAGGAGCCGCUAGGAGAGAACGACCAGCACAGCAGCAGUCCGUCCGUGUGUCUCUUGCGGGAGGGAAGGUCGUGUCGCCGGAGAGGGGAAGGGGUGGGAGGCGAGCGAGAUGCAAGCGAGGCACUCGUCCUGGACGGCGCCGUUCGGUGUUUUUUCCACACGGAGGGAUACAAUAUCUAUGGAGAAUAUUCGAUGCGUCUGGACGGUUCGGUCCU